AACGAACGCUGGCGGCAGGCCUAACACAUGCAAGUCGAGCGAUACCUUCGGGUCUAGCGGCGGACGGGUGAGUAACGCGUGGGAACGUGCCCUUUUCUACGGAAUAGCCUCGGGAAACUGAGCUUAAUACCGUAUACGCCCUUUGGGGGAAAGAUUUAUCGGAGAAGGAUCGGCCCGCGUUGGAUUAGGUAGUUGGUGGGGUAAUGGCCUACCAAGCCUACGAUCCAUAGCUGGUUUGAGAGGAUGAUCAGCCACACUGGGACUGAGACACGGCCCAGACUCCUACGGGAGGCAGCAGUGGGGAAUCUUAGACAAUGGGGGCAACCCUGAUCUAGCCAUGCCGCGUGAGUGAUGAAGGCCUUAGGGUUGUAAAGCUCUUUCAGCUGGGAAGAUAAUGACGGUACCAGCAGAAGAAGCCCCGGCUAACUCCGUG
rnacentral:rRNA from 1 species